rnacentral:rRNA from 1 species
GAAACUUAAAUGAAUUGACGGGGCCCGCACAAGCGGCGGAGCAUGCGGAUUAAUUCGAUGCAACGCGAAGAACCUUACCAAGGCUUGACAUACACCGGUAACGCCCAGAGAUGGGUGCCCCUUUGUGGUCGGUGUACAGGUGGUGCAUGGUUGUCGUCAGCUCGUGUCGUGAGAUGUUGGGUUAAGUCCCGCAACGAGCGCAACCCUCGUCCUAUGUUGCCAGCGGGUCAUGCCAGGGACUCAUGGGAGACUGCCGGGGUCAACUCGGAGGAAGGUGGGGAUGACGUCAAGUCAUCAUGGCCCUUAUGUCCAGGGCUACACACGUGCUACAAUGGACGGUACAGAACGAUGCGAAACCGCGAGGCGAAGCAAAUCGGCGAAACCGUUCGUAGUUCGGAUUGGAGUCUGAAACCCGACUCCAUGAAGUUGGAAUCGCUAGUAAUCGCGCAUCAGCACGGCGCGGUGAAUACGUUCCCGGGCCUU